rnacentral:rRNA from 1 species
GACGAACGCUGGCGGCGUGCUUAACACAUGCAAGUCGAACGGCAAGGCCCUGCUUUUGUGGGGUGCUCGAGUGGCGAACGGGUGAGUAACACGUGAGUAACCUGCCCUUGACUUUGGGAUAACUUCAGGUAACUGGGGCUAAUACCGUAUAGGAGCUCCUGCUGCAUGGUGGGGGUUGGAAAGUUUCGGCGGUUGGGGAUGGACUCGCGGCUUAUCAGCUUGUUGGUGGGGUAGUGGCUUACCCAGGCUUUGACGGGUAGCCGGCCUGAGAGGGUGACCGGCGACAUUGGGACUGAGAUACGGACCAGACUCCUACGGGAGGCAGCAGUGGGGAAUAUUGCACAAUGGGCGGAAGCCUGAUGCAGCAACGCCGCGUGCGGGAUGACGGCCUUCGGGUUGUAAACCGCUUUCGCCUGUGACGAAGCGUGAGUGACGGUAAUGGGUAAAGAAGCACCGGCUAACUACGUG